GCGCACCAGUCGCGAAACUUUACAAUGUGCGAAAGCACGAUAAGGGAACUCUGAGUGCCUCCUAAGGAGGCUGUUCAGGUGUCUAAAAGCACCUGAAGGAAGGGCUGGGUAAGACCGGUGCCAGCCGCCGCGGUAACACCGGCAGCCCAAGUGGUAGCCACGUUUAUUGGGUCUAAAGCGUCCGUAGCCGGCUGGGUAAGUUCCUUGGGAAAUUUGGCUGCUUAACAGUCAAGCUUUCAGGGAAUACUGCUCGGCUUGGGACCGGGAGAGGUCAGAGGUACUCCAGGGGUAGGGGUGAAAUCCAUUAAUCCUUGGGGGACCACCGGUAGCGAAGGCGUCUGACUAGACCGGGUCCGACGGUGAGGGACGAAGGCUAGGGGCGCGAACCGGAUUAGAUACCCGUGUAGU
rnacentral:rRNA from 1 species